UGCAAGUCGAGCGGCAGCGCGGGGGCAACCCUGGCGGCGAGCGGCGAACGGGUGAGUAAUGUAUCGGAACGUACCCAGUCGUGGGGGAUAACUAUCCGAAAGGAUAGCUAAUACCGCAUACGUCCUGAGGGAGAAAGCGGGGGACCGUAAGGCCUCGCGCGAUUGGAGCGGCCGAUAUCGGAUUAGCUAGUUGGUGAGGUAAAGGCUCACCAAGGCGACGAUCCGUAGCUGGUCUGAGAGGACGACCAGCCACACUGGAACUGAGACACGGUCCAGACUCCUACGGGAGGCAGCAGUGGGGAAUUUUGGACAAUGGGGGCAACCCUGAUCCAGCCAUUCCGCGUGAGUGAAGAAGGCCUUCGGGUUGUAAAGCUCUUUCAGCAGGAACGAAACGGUGGCUACUAAUACUAGCUACUAAUGACGGUACCUGAAGAAGAAGCACCGGCUAACUACGUGCCAGCAGCCGCGGUAAUACGUAGGGUGCGAGCGUUAAUCGGAAUUACUGGGCGUAAAGCGUGCGCAGGCGGUUCCAUAAGACAGAUGUGAAAUCCCCGGGCUUAACCUGGGAACUGCGUUUGUGACUGUGGGACUCGAGUGUGGCAGAGGGGGGUGGAAUUCCACGUGUAGCAGUGAAAUGCGUAGAGAUGUGGAGGAACACCGAUGGCGAAGGCAGCCCCCUGGGUCAACACUGACGCUCAUGCACGAAAGCGUGGGGAGCAAAC
rnacentral:rRNA from 1 species